UACGAAGGGGGCUAGCGUUGUUCGGAAUUACUGGGCGUAAAGCGCGCGCAGGCGGUCUUCCAAGUCAGUGGUGAAAGCCCGGAGCUCAACUCCGGAACUGCCAUUGAAACUGUUAGACUUGAGGACGAGAGAGGUGAGUGGAAUUCCCAGUGUAGAGGUGAAAUUCGUAGAUAUUAGGAAGAACACCAGUGGCGAAGGCGGCUUACUGGUCCGGAACUGACGCUGAGGUGCGAAAGCGUGGGGAGCAAACAGG
rnacentral:rRNA from 1 species